UACGGAGGGUGCAAGCGUUAUCCGGAUUCACUGGGUUUAAAGGGUGCGUAGGUGGGAUGGUAAGUCAGUGGUGAAAUCUCCGGGCUUAACCCGGAAACUGCCGUUGAUACUAUCAUUCUUGAAUAUUGUGGAGGUAAGCGGAAUAUGUCAUGUAGCGGUGAAAUGCUUAGAUAUGACAUAGAACACCGAUAGCGAAGGCAGCUUGCUACACAAUUAUUGACACUGAGGCACGAAAGCGUGGGGAUCAAACAGG
rnacentral:rRNA from 1 species